rnacentral:rRNA from 1 species
AGUGAACGCUGGCGGUAGGCCUAACACAUGCAAGUCGAACGGCAGCACAGUAAGAGCUUGCUCUUACGGGUGGCGAGUGGCGGACGGGUGAGGAAUACAUCGGAAUCUACUUUUUCGUGGGGGAUAACGUAGGGAAACUUACGCUAAUACCGCAUACGACCUACGGGUGAAAGCAGGGGAUCUUCGGACCUUGCGCGAUUGAAUGAGCCGAUGUCGGAUUAGCUAGUUGGCGGGGUAAAGGCCCACCAAGGCGACGAUCCGUAGCUGGUCUGAGAGGAUGAUCCGCCCACCGGGAACUGAGACACGGUCCAGACCCCUACGGGAGGCAGCAGUGGGGAAUUUUGGACAAGGGGCGCAAGCCUGAUCCAGCCAUCCCGCGGGGGUGAAGAAGGCCUUCGGGUUGUAAAGCCCUUUUUUUGGGAAAAAAAAGCAGCAGGUUAAACCCCCGCUGUUCUGACGGUACCAAAAGAAUAAGCACCGGCUAAUUUCGU